UACGUAGGGGGCGAGCGUUGUCCGGAUUUAUUGGGCGUAAAGAGCUCGUAGGCGGCUUGGCAAGUCGGGUGUGAAACCUCCAGGCUCAACCUGGAGACGCCACUCGAUACUGCUAUGGCUAGAGUCCGGUAGGGGACCACGGAAUUCCUGGUGUAGCGGUGAAAUGCGCAGAUAUCAGGAGGAACACCGGUGGCGAAGGCGGUGGUCUGGGCCGGCACUGACGCUGAGGAGCGAAAGCGUGGGGAGCGAACAGG
rnacentral:rRNA from 1 species